GAGAGACCCUGGCUGAAAAAUUAAAAACUACUAGAUUUAAAAAAAAUGGAUCUGUCAACAGCACUGGACCAGUGGGUCUAGACAAAGUGCAAGUUAUAAUCGCAAACCAGUCGAAAAGUGGUCGAAAAGCCCCAUUUUUGUAUGGAGUUUUGACGGAUUCGAUUUUCGAUUCGAUCAAAAAGUGCGUUUUGUCUAGGGGGGCAGUUCGCCCAGUUAGCGACAGAGGAUAGCUGGUGUUCUUAAUUUUUGGGGUUUCUUGCCACAAAAGGAAAAGUUUAAACCUUUAUAGGAUAAUUGUUCGUCCGUUAGCAUAAUAUUAAUUUAUUGUUAAUUGUUGUUACUGUUAAUGUGAUCACUAUUUACAUACAUACUUAUUAGCUUGUUCGUAAUACUCGCGUUCGUUCGCGAGCUCGAUUCGCACUUGACCGGUUUUUUAUUUAUUAAUAAGCUAACUUGUAUUCAAUUUUAAACUUUCAAGACAAGUUUACACGUAAUAAAAUACGUCUCAUAAGAACACACCGUUUGUUGAAUAUUGGUAUUUCGAGGUCCCUUCAGGUGCAAUUGUUAAAAUUGAGAUAACAGGAGCUUGUUUGUAAAUAUGUACCUGGCACAUAACUGGCGUUAUGGGAGCGGCAUGUGACGUGACCUUACGCCACUUACAAUAAUUCGACAGUGAUCGCCUCGCUACUACACGCAUUUAAACCUACGAAAUGUGUGUGUCGCUUUAACGCCAUCUUGUGUGCCUGAUGCUUUAGCUCAAAUGAAAUUAUAAUAAAAUUUAACUAGAAAGAAUACAUUUAAAUUAUGUCGUAUUGAAUGAUUUCAGUGUAUUUUGAUCAUUUUAUGUUAAUCACUUACCCUAAUUUUUGUACCAUUUUUGUAUGGGGUACUGAUGUUGUCAGUGUUCGAUGUGUUGACGCUGUCGAUUUGAAUAAAAUAGGUAUGUAUCUAAUAA